rnacentral:rRNA from 1 species
AGAACGAACGCUGGCGGCGUGGAUAAGACAUGCAAGUCGAACGCGACUUAUUUUGUUAGCAAUAACAAAGUAAGUUGAGUGGCGAAGGGGUGCGUAACACGUGGGAAUUUACCAAGAAGUGGGGAAUAGCUCGACGAAAGUCGAAUUAAUACCGCAUACGAUCGCAAGAUCAAAGCCGGGGACCGCAAGGCCUGGCGCUUUUUGAGAAGCCCGCGGCCCAUCAGCUAGUUGGCGGGUAAAAGCCCACCAAGGCUAUGACGGGUAGCUGGUCUGAGAGGACGACCAGCCACACUGGAACUGAGACACGGUCCAGACACCUACGGGUGGCAGCAGUCGAGAAUUUUUUCACAAUGGACGAAAGUCUGAUGGAGCGACGCCGCGUGGAGGAUGAAGGUUCUUGGAUUGUAAACUCUGUCACUGCAGAACAAGGAUACGUUUGUGAAUAGCACGCGUAUUU